AUAUAUAAUUUUUCCCAUAAUCCUACUGGUGUUAAGGGAAGGUCAUCAGGAAAGGCAUAGUUAUAGAGUAAUACUUUAUUGUUGAACAGGAUUGUAAGAUCUAAAUACGAUUACAUUGCUUUAACGAUAUUUAGAAUACCAGGCCAAAUUUGGUGAAAAAUGAAUCUAGGAAGGUUUGCAGUUCUCGCACGAAACUUUACAACGUCCGCUUUACGUAGAAGCGGCCAUGGAGGGAUUCCUGGAGACAAUCUUCCAUUUUCUAUUGAGAACCGAUACAAGCUGACAGUCCUUUUUGUACUGUUCUUUGGGAGUGGAUUUGGUGCACCAUUCUUGCUUCUAAGACAUCAGCUGCUUAAGAAGUAAAUUGUGAUACAUGAUGUCACUGAUACAUCUGUGUAUGAUAUUAUGAAGUUUAGUUCAGCAACAACCAAGUUUUGAAGAUAGUUCAAAAGAGGAACAGUUACCAGAAAAAGUUUAGAAAAGAAAGUAAUUGUAUCUGUUAUGUGACCAAUAACCAAGAUGAUAUUGAUAGUUUCUAUAAAUAAAUUAAAAUAAAGACCUUAAUACCAGUUUGA